GACGAACGCUGGCGGCGUGCCUAAUACAUGCAAGUCGAGCGAACCAAUAAGAAGCUUGCUUUUUUGUUGGUUAGCGGCGGACGGGUGAGUAACACGUGGGUAACCUGCCUGUAAGACCGGGAUAACUCCGGGAAACCGGUGCUAAUACCGGAUAGAUUAUCUUUCCGCCUGGAGAGAUAAGGAAAGAUGGCUAUUGCCAUCACUUACAGAUGGGCCCGCGGCGCAUUAGCUAGUUGGUGAGGUAACGGCUCACCAAGGCGACGAUGCGUAGCCGACCUGAGAGGGUGAUCGGCCACACUGGGACUGAGACACGGCCCAGACUCCUACGGGAGGCAGCAGUAGGGAAUCUUCCGCAAUGGACGAAAGUCUGACGGAGCAACGCCGCGUGAGCG
rnacentral:rRNA from 1 species